rnacentral:rRNA from 1 species
UACGAAGGGGGCUAGCGUUGCUCGGAAUUACUGGGCGUAAAGCGCACGUAGGCGGCUUUCUAAGUCGGGGGUGAAAUCCUGGAGCUCAACUCCAGAACUGCCUUCGAUACUGGAGAGCUUGAGUCCGGGAGAGGUGAGUGGAACUGCGAGUGUAGAGGUGAAAUUCGUAGAUAUUCGCAAGAACACCGGUGGCGAAGGCGGCCAACUGGUCCGAUACUGACGCUGAGGUGCGAAAGCGUGGGGAGCAAACAGG